ACUCCUACGGGAGGCUGCAGUGGGGAAUAUUGCGCAAUGGGGGGAACCCUGACGCAGCCAUGCCGCGUGAAUGAAGAAGGCCUUCGGGUUGUAAAGUUCUUUCGGUAUUGAGGAAGGUUGAUGUGUUAAUAGCACAUCAAAUUGACGUUAAAUACAGAAGAAGCACCGGCUAACUCCGUGCCAGCAGCCGCGGUAAUACGGAGGGUGCGAGCGUUAAUCGGAAUAACUGGGCGUAAAGGGCACGCAGGCGGUUAUUUAAGUGAGGUGUGAAAGCCCUGGGCUUAACCUAGGAAUUGCAUUUCAGACUGGGUAACUAGAGUACUUUAGGGAGGGGUAGAAUUCCACGUGUAGCGGUGAAAUGCGUAGAGAUGUGGAGGAAUACCGAAGGCGAAGGCAGCCCCUUGGGAAUGUACUGACGCUCAUGUGCGAAAGCGUGGGGAGCAAACAGGAUUAGAUACCCUGGUAGUCCACGCCGUAAACGCUGUCGAUUUGGGGGUUGGGGUUUAACUCUGGCGCCCGUAGCUAACGUGAUAAAUCGACCGCCUGGGGAGUACGGCCGCAAGGUUAAAACUCAAAUGAAUUGACGGGGGCCCGCACAAGCAGUGGAGCAUGUGGUUUAAUUCGAUGCAACGCGAAGAACCUUACCUACUCUUGACAUCCUAAGAAGAGCUCAGAGAUGAGCUUGUGCCUUCGGGAACUUAGAGACAGGUGAUGCAUGGAUGUCGUCAGCUCGUG
rnacentral:rRNA from 1 species